rnacentral:rRNA from 1 species
ACGGAAGGCAGCAGUGGGGAAUAUUGCACAAUGGGGGAAACCCUGAUGCAGCGACGCCGCGUGAGUGAAGAAGUAUUUCGGUAUGUAAAGCUCUAUCAGCAGGAAAGAAAAUGACGGUACCUGACUAGGAAGCCCCGGCUAACUACGUGCCAGCAGCCGCGGUAAUACGUAGGGGGCAAGCGUUAUCCGGAUUUACUGGGUGUAAAGGGAGCGUAGACGGCUUGGCAAGUCUGAAGUGAAAGCCCGGGGCUCAACCCCGGAACUGCUUUGGAAACUGUUGAGCUGGAGUGCAGGAGAGGUAAGCGGAAUUCCUAGUGUAGCGGUGAAAUGCGUAGAUAUUAGGAGGAACACCAGCGGCGAAGGCGGCUUACUGGACUGUAACUGACGUUGAGGCUCGAAGGCGUGGGGAGCAAACAGGAUUAGAUACCCUGGUA